rnacentral:rRNA from 1 species
GAUGAACGCUGGCGGCGUGCCUAAUACAUGCAAGUCGAGCGAACGGACGAGAAGCUUGCUUCUCUGAUGUUAGCGGCGGACGGGUGAGUAACACGUGGAUAACCUACCUAUAAGACUGGGAUACCUUCGGGAAACCGGAGCUAAUACCGGAUAAUAUUUUGAACCGCAUGGUUCAAAAGUGAAAGACGGUCUUGCUGUCACUUAUAGAUGGAUCCGCGCUGCAUUAGCUAGUUGGUAAGGUAACGGCUUACCAAGGCAACGAUGCAUAGCCGACCUGAGAGGGUGAUCGGCCACACUGGAACUGAGACACGGUCCAGACUCCUACGGGAGGCAGCAGUAGGGAAUCUUCCGCAAUGGGCGAAAGCCUGACGGAGCAACGCCGCGUGAGUGAUGAAGGUCUUCGGAUCGUAAAACUCUAUUAUUAGGGAAGAACAUAUGUGUAAGUAACUGUGCACAUCUUGACGGUACCUAAUCAGAAAGCCACGGCUAACUACGUG